UUGUACGUUGUUGUCACGCUCGGAGGGUCACCGUUACGGCGUUCGAGAGGGGGCCUCUGGCGGGCCGGUCCAAAGGACCAGCGGCCGCCAAAGCAACCGGUCAGGUACACAGGGGGCUGGAGGUCGGGCCGGAGCCCUCGCUCGCUAGUGAUCCUUCCGCAGGUUCACCUACGGAAA
rnacentral:misc_RNA from 1 species